rnacentral:tRNA from 1 species
GGUAGAGCAUUUGACUGCAGAUCAAGAGGUCUCCAGUUCAAAUCUGGGUGCCCCCU